rnacentral:rRNA from 1 species
GACGAACGCUGGCGGCGUGCUUAACACAUGCAAGUCGAACGGAAAGGCCUGCUUUCCCUUGUGGAUUGCGGGUACUCGAGUGGCGAACGGGUGAGUAACACGUGAGUGAUCUGCCCCCAACUUGGGUAUAAGCCUGGGAAACUGGGUCUAAUUCCCGAUAGGACUGCAGGGUGGUGCCUGUGGUGGAAAACGAUUUUCUAGUGGUUGGGGAUGAGCUCGCGGCCUAUCAGCUUGUUGGUGGGGUAAUGGCCUACCAAGGCGGCGACGGGUAGCCGGCCUGAGAGUGUGGACGGCCACAUUGGGACUGAGAUACGGCCCAGACGCCUACGGGAGGCAGCAGUGGGGAAUAUUGCACAAUGGGCGGAAGCCUGAUGCAGCGACGCCGCGUGGGGGAUGACGGCCUUCGGGUUGUAAACUCCUUUCGACCGCGAGGAAGCCACCUGGUUGGAAGGGUGGUGACGGUAGUGGUAGAAGAAGCACCGGCUAACUACGU